ACUCAUCUUCUCCUGCCCUGGCACAUCAAAACUCCAGGUUCUCUGAUCUUUGAACACUGGGACUUAAUCCAGCAUCCCCUUACUGCCUGAAGUUCUCAGGACUUUGGACUUGGACUGAACGAUGCUACCAGCUUCCCUGGCUUUCCAGCUUGUAGAUGGCGUAUCAUGGAAUUUCUCAGUCUCCAAAGUAAUGUGAGCCAAUUCCUAUAAUAACUCUCUUCUCUAUCUAAUCUAUUAAUAUUUACAUUUCUUAUUGUUUUUCAUUUACCUGGAGAACCCUAAUAAAACUUCCUGUUGCAUACCUUUAAUGUCAUCAUCAUUAUCUCAGUCCAAAAUUCUCCUUGCAGUCACUGGAAGUAAAAUAUUAAUAUCACCCAUAUUUUAAAUUCAAACUCAAAUCCUGCUUUUAAUAUAUUAUUAGUCAGCCAAAAUGUUGCAUUCUCUCUCUGAAUUUCUAAGGAGUCUAUAAUACUAGUUUCUACAUAUAAUCAAAUAUUGUUUUGUUCUUUCGGUGUGGAAUAUGUACAUGUUUUAUCUCCUACAGAAAUUUGUAAAUUUUCACAAGCAAGAAUCUUCUUCUACUUCUUUAACCUCACAAUGCAUAGAACAAGCAACCAAGAACCACAAAAAUCACUGGCCACUGACAAAUGACACUUCAAGAGGAAUACAGGCUUAAUAGCUGCGAACACAGGUUCGUUGAACAAAUGAAUAAUUUUGAAUGAUUCUUGCAUCUCCAUUUGGUAUUGUCCUUCCUUUUUCUUCUUUUUUCUUUCACUUCUACCCACCUACCAACCUCACAAAGUGUCCAGUACCUCACCCUAGAAUAGGUGAUACCUCUAGGAUACCUCACCAUAGAAUUCUGACUAGAAUUAACCCUACACAGUCAGCUCUAUAACUGUAGAGUAUUACCCACACCACCAAAAUAUUCUUCAUCAGAAUGUCCUGAGUUUGAUACAGUAAUCCAUGCUUAUAUGUCAAUGGAUGCUCCCCUCCUGGAUCAAAUAAGGUAGGUUUCAUAGGAAGAGAGACAAUAGAGCUUUAAACAAAUGGAGUUGACUUACAAAAAUUUUAACGUCCAAUGCAGCCAGUGAGGGAGAUCCUUUGAGGCAUUUAGGAACCUGUAGCAAUCUUUAAAUCAUAACAGAAUAGAAAAGAAGACCUACGAAUAGAAUAGGCUUACUAUAUUGAAUAAUAUGUAAAUUCAUAUACCUUUCACCAUACCUUGCCUUCUUACCUUCUAUCCUCCAAAUUUGUCAAACUGAAGACAUUAAAGUUGGUAAAUAUAUUUAUGACAAUUAGUCUUACUACUAUGAUUAACUAGUUUCAGAUUCUGACCAGCGCUUAUAUAACAUAACUCCCCAAUCCUGAAUUUUCUCAUUGUGCUAUUCGUCUGAUUACAAAAGAAAAUAUAUUUUUGUAAAAAUUUAGAAAAUAUAGAAAGUUUAAAUAAGAAAAUGGCAGUAAAUCAAACGCAUAAUCCAAAUAGCCAGAAAGAACCAUUAUUAAUAUCUAGAUAUAUUUCUUCUCAGUCUUUCCCUAAAAACUAUAAUUAUAAAAAUAUAUACACAUAUAAUAUAUACUUGCCUAAUUUAAUCAAUAUCCUAAAAAUAAACGUUUAUCUGUCCUACAUAUGUAACAUAGUUUAUGUAAUAAUUUUCCUGUUCUUAGACAUUUAAAUUAUUUCAAAAUUUUAAUUAUAAGAAACAGUGAGCAAAACAUGAUGAUAUAAGAAAUUUUAUUAUCAUCUCUACUUAUUUCCAUAAAAAAU
rnacentral:lncRNA from 1 species